GAACGCUGGCGGCGUGCCUAAUACAUGCAAGUCGAACGCACAGCGAAAGGUGCUUGCACCUUUCAAGUGAGUGGCGAACGGGUGAGUAACACGUGGACAACCUGCCUCAAGGCUGGGGAUAACAUUUGGAAACAGAUGCUAAUACCGAAUAAAACUUAGUGUCGCAUGACACAAAGUUAAAAGGCGCUUCGGCGUCACCUAGAGAUGGAUCCGCGGUGCAUUAGUUAGUUGGUGGGGUAAAGGCCUACCAAGACAAUGAUGCAUAGCCGAGUUGAGAGACUGAUCGGCCACAUUGGGACUGAGACACGGCCCAAACUCCUACGGGAGGCUGCAGUAGGGAAUCUUCCACAAUGGGCGAAAGCCUGAUGGAGCAACGCCGCGUGUGUGAUGAAGGCUUUCGGGUCGUAAAGCACUGUUGUAUGGGAAGAACAGCUAGAAUAGGAAAUGAUUUUAGUUUGACGGUACCAUACCAGAAAGGGACGGCUAAAUACGUGCCAGCAGCCGCGGUAAUACGUAUGUCCCGAGCGUUAUCCGGAUUUAUUGGGCGUAAAGCGAGCGCAGACGGUUUAUUAAGUCUGAUGUGAAAGCCCGGAGCUCAACUCCGGAAUGGCAUUGGAAACUGGUUAACUUGAGUGCAGUAGAGGUAAGUGGAACUCCAUGUGUUAGCGGUGGAAUGCGUAGAUAUAUGGAAGAACACCAGUGGCGAAGGCGGCUUACUGGACUGCAACUGACGUUGAGGCUCGAAAGUGUGGGUAGCAAACAGGAUUAGAUACCCUGGUAGUCCACACCGUAAACGAUGAACACUAGGUGUUAGGAGGUUUCCGCCUCUUAGUGCCGAAGCUAACGCAUUAAGUGUUCCGCCUGGGGAGUACGACCGCAAGGUUGAAACUCAAAGGAAUUGACGGGGACCCGCACAAGCGGUGGAGCAUGUGGUUUAAUUCGAAGCAACGCGAAGAACCUUACCAGGUCUUGACAUCCUUUGAAGCUUUUAGAGAUAGAAGUGUUCUCUUCGGAGACAAAGUGACAGGUGGUGCAUGGUCGUCGUCAGCUCGUGUCGUGAGAUGUUGGGUUAAGUCCCGCAACGAGCGCAACCCUUAUUGUUAGUUGCCAGCAUUCAGAUGGGCACUCUAGCGAGACUGCCGGUGACAAACCGGAGGAAGGCGGGGACGACGUCAGAUCAUCAUGCCCCUUAUGACCUGGGCUACACACGUGCUACAAUGGCGUAUACAACGAGUUGCCAACCCGCGAGGGUGAGCUAAUCUCUUAAAGUACGUCUCAGUUCGGAUUGUAGUCUGCAACUCGACUACAUGAAGUCGGAAUCGCUAGUAAUCGCGGAUCAGCACGCCGCGGUGAAUACGUUCCCGGGUCUUGUACACACCGCCCGUCACACCAUGGGAGUUUGUAAUGCCCAAAGCCGGUGGCCUAACCUUUUAGGAAGGAGCCGUCUAAGGCAGGACAGAUGACUGGGGUGAAGUCGUAACA
rnacentral:rRNA from 1 species